rnacentral:rRNA from 1 species
UAUGUGAUCGUCUCUCGCAUAUCAAUAAGCGGAGGAAAAGAAACUAACAAGGAUUCCCCUAGUAACGGCGAGUGAAGCGGGAAGAGCUCAAAUUUGAAAUCUUAAAGGGUUUCCCUUUACGAAUUGUAGUUUAACGAAGUGUUUUCUGUUGAGGUUUUGGUAAAAGUUCUUUGGAAUAGGACAUCAUAGAGGGUGAGAAUCCCGUAUUUGACCUUUACUUUCAACUUUGUGAUACACUUUCAAAGAGUCGGAUUGUUUGGGAAUGCAGUCCAAAAUGGGUGGUAAAUUUCAUCUAAAGCUAAAUAUUGGCGAGAGACCGAUAGCGAACAAGUACCGUGAGGGAAAGAUGAAAAGAACUUUGAAAAGAGAGUUAAACAGUACGUGAAAUUGUCAAAAGGGAAGCGUUUGACACCAGUGUUGUUUUUCUGAAAAUCAAUUAAAGAACUGUUUAUGCUAAGCUGUUUAGACUUUAUCAGCUAUCUGUUUAGUUUUGAGCUUUUCUUUAAUGCACUUUUCAGUUAACAAGUCAACAUCAAUUUCUUUUGCUGUAAAAAAGCUUGAGGAAGGUGGCUUGAGAUUCGUCUUAAGUGUUUAUAGCCUCUUGCCUAUGCAGUCGGAGAGAUUGAGGUCUGCAGCGUAGAUCCUUCGGGGCUAAAUGCAUUUGUGCUAAGUUAUAGCAUUUUAUAGACAACUUGUUGACUAUGAUUUGUCUUGUAGCUUACUCGCUUAUGUUAUUUUACCUACGCUUAGGAUGUUGAUAUCGCGCUCUCACUG